AGACAACAGAGGCAGAGUGCAGAAACUAGUAUGGGAGGUCAGUAGUUCAGGUAAUCCACAGGAGACACAGCACAACACAAAAGGACGGGCAUGGGGUAAACCCAGAGGCUGGUGCAACAGCUAUAUUACAAUGAUCAAGAUAGAAGCAGAUGAAAAGGAGAGAAAAACAGAAAUAACUGGUUAAAACCUGCCAGACAAAGCUAUUGAAAGCAUAUUCCUUGUAUCUGAGUACCCCUUUAAGGGCUCACAGCAGCACUGAAUGAAUGAUGAAGACCAUCAGCCAUUCCAGGAGUACCAGAAGAGUACAACAGUCUCCUGCUCCCGUGAAGAACUGCUUAAGAAUUUAUGGUUUACAUUUUGCAAUGUUCAAAGUAUGGAGCUUUUAUGACUGUUCUGAGGCCAUUAAAUGGG